rnacentral:rRNA from 1 species
GAUGAACGCUAGCUACAGGCUUAACACAUGCAAGUCGAGGGGCAGCAUGACCUAGCAAUAGGUUGAUGGCGACCGGCGCACGGGUGAGUAACACGUAUCCAACCUACCGGUUAUUCCGGGAUAGCCUUUCGAAAGAAAGAUUAAUACCGGAUAGUAUAACGAGAAGGCAUCUUCUUGUUAUUAAAGAAUUUCGAUAACCGAUGGGGAUGCGUUCCAUUAGUUUGUUGGCGGGGUAACGGCCCACCAAGACAUCGAUGGAUAGGGGUUCUGAGAGGAAGGUCCCCCACAUUGGAACUGAGACACGGUCCAAACUCCUACGGGAGGCAGCAGUGAGGAAUAUUGGUCAAUGGACGAGAGUCUGAACCAGCCAAGUAGCGUGAAGGAUGACUGCCCUAUGGGUUGUAAACUUCUUUUAUAUGGGAAUAAAGUGAGCCACGUGUGGCUUUUUGUAUGUACCAUACGAAUAAGGAUCGGCUA